rnacentral:rRNA from 1 species
GAGUUUGAUCCUGGCUCAAGAUGAACGCUGGCGGCGUGCUUAACACAUGCAAGUCGAACGGGGAUUACACGGAGAUGCGAUUUCGGUCAAAUCAAGUGCAAUCUUAGUGGCGGACGGGUGAGUAACGCGUGGGUAACCUGCCUUGCACUGGGGGAUAACACUUAGAAAUAGGUGCUAAUACCGCAUAAGCGCACGGUCCUGCAUGGGACAGUGUGAAAAACUCCGGUGGUGCAAGAUGGACCCGCGUCUGAUUAGCUGGUUGGCGGGGUAAAGGCCCACCAAGGCGACGAUCAGUAGCCGGCCUGAGAGGGUGGACGGCCACAUUGGGACUGAGACACGGCCCAAACUCCUACGGGAGGCAGCAGUGGGGGAUAUUGGACAAUGGGGGGAACCCUGAUCCAGCGACGCCGCGUGAGUGAAGAAGUAUUUCGGUAUGUAAAGCUCUGUCAGCAGGGAAGAAAGCAAUGACGGUACCUGACCAAGAAGCCCCGGCUAACUACGUGCCAGCAGCCGCGGUAAUACGUAGGGGGCAAGCGUUAUCCGGAAUUACUGGGUGUAUAGGGAGCGUACACGGCUGUGCAAGUCUGGAGUGAAAGGCGGGGGCCCAACCCCCGGACUGCUCUGGAAACUGUAUGGCUGGAGUGCANGACAUGUAAGCGGAAUUCCUAGUGUAGCGGUGAAAUGCGUAGAUAUUAC